CUACACCUGUUGUAUUCAGCAUUUCACUGUGAGGUCUACUACACCUGUUGUAUUCAGCAUUUCACUGUGAGGUCUACUACACCUGUUGUAUUCAGCAUUUCACUGUGAGGUCUACUACACCUGUUGUAUUCAGCAUUUCACUGUGAGGUCUACUACACCUGUUGUAUUCAGCAUUUCACUGUGAGGUCUACUACACCUGUUGUAUUCAGCAUUUCACUGUGAGGUCUACUACACCUGUUGUAUUCAGCAUUUCACUGUGAGGUCUACUACACCUGUUGUAUUCAGCAUUUCACUGUGAGGUCUACUACACCUGUUGUAUUCAGCAUUUCACUGUAAGGUCUACUACACCUGUUGUAUUCAGCAUUUCACUGUGAGGUCUACUACACCUGUUGUAUUCAGCAUUUCACUGUAAGGUCUACUACACCUGUUGUAUUCAGCAUUUCACUGUGAGGUCUACUACACCUGUUGUAUUCAGCAUUUCACUGUGAGGUCUACUACACCUGUUGUAUUCAGCAUUUCACUGUGAGGUCUACUACACCUGUUGUAUUCAGCAUUUCACUGUGAGGUCUACUACACCUGUUGUAUUCAGCAUUUCACUGUGAGGUCUACUACACCUGUUGUAUUCAGCAUUUCACUGUGAGGUCUACUACACCUGUUGUAUUCAGCAUUUCACUGUGAGGUCUACUACACCUGUUGUAUUCAGCAUUUCACUGUGAGGUCUACUACACCUGUUGUAUUCAGCAUUUCACUGUGAGGUCUACUACACCUGUUGUAUUCAGCAUUUCACUGUGAGGUCUACUACACCUGUUGUAUUCAGCAUGUCACUGUGAGGUCUACUACACCUGUUGUAUUCAUCAUUUCACUGUGAGGUCUACUACACCUGUUGUAUUCAGCAUUUCACUGUGAGGUCUACUACACCUGUUGUAUUCAUCAUUUCACUGUGAGGUCUACUACACCUGUUGUAUUCAUCAUUUCACUGUGAGGUCUACUACACCUGUUGUAUUCAGCAUUUCACUGUGAGGUCUACUACACCUGUUG